GACGAACGCUGGCGGCGUGCCUAACACAUGCAAGUCGAACGGGACCAGGGGCAACUCUGGUUCAGUGGCGGACGGGUGCGUAACACGUGAGGAACAUGACCUUCGGCGGGGAGUAGCCGGCCCAACGGCCGGGUAAGUACCGCGUACGACCAUUUGGGGUACGAUCCUCGAGUGGUGAAAGACAGCAAUGCGCCGAUGGAGUGCCUCGCGGCCUAUCAGCUAGUUGGUGGGGUAACGGGCNCACCAAGGCAACGACGGGGUAGCUGGUCUGAGAGGAUGGCCAGCCACAUUGGGACUGAGACACGGCCCAGACUCCUACGGGAGGCAGCAGUGGGGAA
rnacentral:rRNA from 1 species